AGAAUGGUUUUUUUAAACACCACACAAACAGACAAAAAAUAUAAAU
rfam:Glossina morsitans morsitans, isolate Yale, WGS project CCAG01000000 data, contig: ctg10012777